CCUAAAUCCUAAUUUCUAUUUCUCAUUUUCUCUUCACGCCGCCUGCCUUCACUGAAGUUCAUUGAAGUCUCUUCACGCCCCUGACUCGCCACCACUGCCUACCAGAUUUGGUGAUUUUUGAAGCAGAAUGAGCAAAUCACGGUUAGUUAUAGAUAAUUGAGAGCAAGUUAUAGAUGAUUAAGAGCAAAGUUGCAGAAAGCCAGAAACCGAACCACGCUUGGAUAUGUUUAAUAUGUUUAUGGACUUUUGGUUAUGAACUUUUUUAAUAUGUUUAUAAACUUUUGGGUUUGAACUUUUUUAAUAUGUAAUAUGUUUAUAAACUUUUGGGUUUUUAUUAUGUAAUUAUGUAUGGAUGUGGAGUUUUCAAGUUCAAA